GAAGAAUGAACAGCAUUUUCUCAGGUUCCAGCAUCCUGGACUCCAUAGUUUUCUACCGUACCCAACCUGAAAAGUGCAUGGCCUCCAGCAACACUCAUCAUGGAAUUGAGCUGCUUUCCCUGCAACACCCUUCAGAUGGCUGCAUAGCAUGCUGUCUAUUCUGCCUUUGUAGCUGGGACACAAAUGAUCCAUUUGGUCAUGACCCCUUGCAAGCUAGAUUGAUGCAACAGCCUCUUCAUUUGUCCCCCUGC